UACAGAGGGUGCGAGCGUUAAUCGGAAUUACUGGGCGUAAAGCGCGCGUAGACGGUUUUGUAAGUCAGAUGUGAAAUCCCUGGGCUCAACCUGGGAACUGCAUUUGAGACUGCAUGGCUAGAGUAUCGAAGAGGGAAGUGGAAUUUCCGGUGUAGCGGUGAAAUGCGUAGAUAUCGUAAGGAAGACCAGUGGCGAAGGCGGGUCUCUGGACAGUUCCUGACGCUGAGGCACGAAGGCCAGGGGAGCAAACGGG
rnacentral:rRNA from 1 species